rnacentral:tRNA from 1 species
GCUUUUGCGGUGUUUGACACAUUACAAUUUCGUUGUAGGAUAGGCUCCGCCCUAAAGU